GUCGUCCUUUGCUACGGUGGGAAGGAACCCCGACGAGACGCGCCGUACCGGGUGGCCUUGGCUGUACGACAAGACGACGCACC
rnacentral:ncRNA from 1 species